AGUGAAGCGGCAACAGCUCAAAUUUGAAAUCCGGCCCCCUCGGGGCUCGAGUUGUAAUUUGUAGAGGGUGUUUCGGGCGCGAUGCCGGUCUAAGUUCCUUGGAACAGGACGUCGUAGAGGGUGAGAAUCCCGUAUGCGACCGGCGAUCAAGCCCGUGCGAAACCCCUUCGACGAGUCGAGUUGUUUGGGAAUGCAGCUCAAAACGGGUGGUAAAUUUCAUCUAAAGCUAAAUACCGGCCAGAGACCGAUAGCGGACAAGUAGAGUGAUCGAAAGAUGAAAAGCACUUUGGAAAGAGAGUCAAACAGCACGUGAAAUUGUUGAAAGGGAAGCGCUUGCGAUCAGACCGGUCCGGAGGCGAUCAGCCGCUGCUCGUCAGCGGUGCACUCGCCUGCGAUCCGGCCAGCAUCGGUUUGGGCGGCGGGAGAAAAGUCCCGGGAAUGUAGCUUCCCUCGGGGAGUCUUAGAGCCCGGGUCGCAAUGCCGCCCGCCCGGACCGAGGACCGCGCUUCGGCUAGGAUGCUGGCGUAAUGGUCGCAAGCG
rnacentral:rRNA from 1 species